GACGAACGCUGGCGGCGUGCUUAACACAUGCAAGUCGUACGGUAAGGCCCUUUCGGGGGUACACGAGUGGCGAACGGGUGAGUAACACGUGAGUAACCUGCCCACAACUUUGGGAUAACGCUAGGAAACUGGUGCUAAUACUGGAUAUGUGCUCCUGCCGCAUGGUGGGGGUUGGAAAGCUCCGGCGGUUGUGGAUGGACUCGCGGCCUAUCAGCUUGUUGGUGGGGUAGUGGCCUACCAAGGCGGCGACGGGUAGCCGGCCUGAGAGGGUGACCGGCCACAUUGGGACUGAGAUACGGCCCAGACUCCUACGGGAGGCAGCAGUGGGGAAUAUUGCACAAUGGGCGCAAGCCUGAUGCAGCAACGCCGCGUGCGGGAUGACGGCCUUCGGGUUGUAAACCGCUUUCAGCAGGGACGAAGCUUUUUGUGACGGUAGCUGCAGAAGAAGCACCGGCUAACUACGUG
rnacentral:rRNA from 1 species